rnacentral:misc_RNA from 1 species
GAAAUUCGAUAAUUAAUGUGAAUUGCAGAAUUCAGUGAAUCAUCGAGUCUUUGAACGCACAUUGCGCCCCCUGGUAUUCCGGGGGGCAUGCCUGUCCGAGCGUCAUUGCUGCCCUCAAGCACGGCUUGUGUGUUGGGCUUCCGUCCCUGGCAACGGGGACGGGCCCAAAAAGCAGUGGCGGCACCAUGUCUGGUCCUCGAGCGUAUGGGGCUUUGUCACCCGCUCCCGUAGGUCCAGCUGGCAGCUAGCCUCGCAACCAAUCUUUUUAACCAGGUUGACCUCGGAUCAGGUAGGGAUACCCGCUGAACUUAAGC